UACGUAGGGUGCAAGCGUUAAUCGGAAUUACUGGGCGUAAAGCGUGCGCAGGCGGUUUCGUAAGUCUGACGUGAAAUCCCCGGGCUCAACCUGGGAAUUGCGAUGGAGACUGCAAGGCUUGAAUCUGGCAGAGGGGGGUAGAAUUCCACGUGUAGCAGUGAAAUGCGUAGAGAUGUGGAGGAACACCGAUGGCGAAGGCAGCCCCCUGGGUCAAGAUUGACGCUCAUGCACGAAAGCGUGGGGAGCAAACAGG
rnacentral:rRNA from 1 species